UACGUAGGGUGCGAGCGUUAAUCGGAAUUACUGGGCGUAAAGCGUGCGCAGGCGGUUCGUUGUGUCGGUGGUGAAAGCCCCGGGCUUAACCUGGGAAUGGCCAUGGAAACUGGCGAACUGGAGUGUGGCAGAGGGGGGUGGAAUUCCGCGUGUAGCAGUGAAAUGCGUAGAGAUCGGGAGGAACACCCGUGGCGAAGGCGGCCAACUGGGAUACACCUGACGCUGAGGCACGAAGGCGUGGGGAGCGAACGGG
rnacentral:rRNA from 1 species